rnacentral:rRNA from 1 species
CCUACGGGAGGCAGCAGUGGGGAAUAUUGCGCAAUGGGCGAAAGCCUGACGCAGCGACGCCGCGUGAGGGAUGAAGGUCUUCGGAUCGUAAACCUCUGUCAGCAGGGAAGAACGGUCACUGUGCUAAUCAGCAGUGAAUUGACGGUACCUGCAAAGGAAGCACCGGCUAACUCCGUGCCAGCAGCCGCGGUAAUACGGAGGGUGCGAGCGCUAAUCGGAAUUACUGGGCGUAAAGCGCUCGUAGGCGGUAUGUCAAGUCAAGGGGGAAAUCCCCGCGCGCAACGUGGGAACUGCCUGUGAAACUGGCAAACUGGAGUGUGUGAGAGGAUAGUGGAAUUCCAGGUGUAGGAGUGAAAUCCGUAGAUAUCUGGAGGAACAUCAGUGGCGAAGGCGACUAUCUGGCACAUAACUGACGCUGAGGAGCGAAAGCGUGGGUAGCAAACAGGAUUAGAUACCCCAGUAGUC